AGUCGCACGAGAAAGUGGAGCAAUCCAUGAGUAAAGUGGCGCACGGGUGAGUAACACGUGAAUGAUCUACCUCCGAGUGGGGAAUAACCUAGAGAAAUCUGGGCUAAUACCGCAUAACACUUACGAGUCAAAGCAGCAAUGCGCUUGGAGAGGAGUUCGCGGCCGAUUAGUUGGUUGGCGGGGUAAUGGCCCACCAAGACGAUGAUCGGUAUCCGGCCUGAGAGGGCGCACGGACACACUGGAACUGAAACACGGUCCAGACUCCUACGGGAGGCAGCAGUGGGGAAUUUUGCGCAAUGGGGGAAACCCUGACGCAGCAACGCCGCGUGGAGGAUGAAAUCCCUUGGGAUGUAAACUCCUUUCGAUCGGGACGAUUAUGACGGUACCGGAAGAAGAAGCCCCGGCUAACUUCGUGCCAGCAGCCGCGGUAAUACGAGGGGGGCAAGCGUUGUUCGGAAUUAUUGGGCGUAAAGGGCGCGUAGGCGGUUUGACAAGUCUGAUGUGAAAUCUCUGGGCUCAACUCAGAGUCUGCAUUAGAAACUGUCGGGCUU
rnacentral:rRNA from 1 species